AGGAUGAACGCUGGCGGCGUGCCUAAUACAUGCAAGUCGAGCGGUAACACUUCGGGUGACGAGCGGCGGACGGCUGAGUAACGCGUAGGAACGUACCCCAGAGUGAGGGAUAAGCACCGGAAACGGUGUCUAAUACCGCAUAAUCUCUUAGGAGCAAAGCAGCAAUGCGCUUUGGGAACGGCCUGCGUAUGAUUAGCUUGUUGGUGAGGUAAUGGCUCACCAAGGCGACGAUUAUUAGCUGGUCUUAGAGGAUGAUCAGCCAGACUGGGACUGAGACACGGCCCAGACUCCUACGGAGGCAGCAGUAGGGAAUUUUCCACAAUGGGCGAAAGCCUGAUGGAGCAACGCCGCGUGCAGGAUGAAGGCCUUCGGGUUGUAAACUGUCUUUGUUAGUGAAGAUUAUGACGGUAACUAGCGAAUAAGGGUCUGCUACUACGCGCCAGCAGCCGC
rnacentral:rRNA from 1 species